ACAAAAGGCAAAUAUGCAAAACCCUCCAGGACUGAGGAUGCUCUGGCCAGGAGCAGGGCCAUCUCAGGGUCCCCACCAUACUGAUGGAGAAACUGAGGCUCAGAGCGUGGUCACCGAUCCUUCUCACGCUAGUCUGUAAAGUGCUGUUGCCCAAUGGGAUUAUGCACAGGAACAAGGGAGCGGGACACCUGGGGUGUCUCUGUGUGUCCCUGGCUAAAACCACCGUCCCGGUUUGUGCCUCAGUUUCUCCAGCUGCUAACCAAGGCUUAUGACAUCGAUCCACAUCACAGGGCUGGCAGGCUCUGGCCUGGCGGCUGCAUUGAGACCCAGACACAGUGUAGAGUUGAAGCAUAGCUUGUUUAAUUUUUAUACAUUUUUUCUUAUUUUUUUCCUUUCUUUCUGUUUUUUUAAACUUUUUUUUUGUUUUGUUUUGUUUUUUUUUGCAUAGGGGGGAAAAAAACCCAUAGUCGCUUUCAGUAAGGUGUACGUAGGCAGGAGCAUCUGCUAAACAAUAAUGGCUGCAUACAAUGUUAUAAUCAAAUAUUGUGAGGCACCAGGGAAGCAACCAAAGGAGCUAUCCAGCCAUGGGGGUGGGGUAGGAAACGGGGAGGGGGAUCUACAUGCAGGUGGGGGAGCCGGGGGGCCAAUGGAGGGGGUUUGAUCAGAGAGCUUUGCCAACAAGGCACUGCCUAAGAAGCCGCCCAUGCGAUAUACGCCCCGCAGCUCGGCCUUCCCUGGUGCCGUGGUACGUGUGUGUAAUGUGGCGCCGCAAGCAAGAAGCAAGAAACAGAAUAACUAUGACUGUAAUGUCCGUCCCAGAGCAACGGAAAGGAAGGAACAAAAGAGCUUCCAAAUGAAAUCAAAACCAAAGGAAAAAACGAAUGUUCCACUCGGUCCCAGCAUAUCUCCACGAAAUAUCUUCUGCCCGGCGCUAGCCUCACCAGCCUCAGCCUGGAGAAAGCCCAAUGGAGAAGGACGCGCCGCCUGCACCCCCCCCCGCCACGCCCUGCCAUCGGGGGAGGGGGAUGCUAACCAGUUCUGGGGCCAGCCCGAGGCAGGGGCAAGAUUGGCUUGGGAUUGCGGCGUUCUGAGCCUGGCAACCCGUGGCAGGAUUCAAAGGCUGGCCAAGCUGUGCCUUGGGGACCUGAGCCAAGGCCUAGCUGUGGCCAUGGAUAGCUUCCCAUUGGCUUCAGGAGGCUCUGGCUCAGAUGCCGGGGGAAGAAACCAUGGACUGACCCCAGAAUGUCAGUCCCACCUGUGUGCGCCCGACCAUGGCCCCUGCCCUGCCACAAUUUUCCCACGAAGGAAGCCCUCGAUUUUUUUCCGAACAAAGUUCUUGAGGCUUGAAUGAAACAAAAAACUCUGCCCCCAUCUGCUAAUGAUCUUGCUGGGUGGGUGUGGCUAAAUACUGACCCCGCCCAUCGUCUUGCCCCAUCCUGACAGCAUGGCAAAGGACGAAGAUGGACUUUCCCUUGGACAGAGGCAGUGCUGUGUAGGAAACAUACAAGAUGGUUGUAUAAGCAACCCCCCCCCCUUUCCGGCUGCCCACCCUCCAAAAUCCUGGGCAGGGCGGGGCAAAAAAAAAAAAAAAAAAAAAAAGAAAGCCAAGCCAGCAGUAAGUAAGAGGCACUGCUUUGUCAGAAUUUUUGGUAUUGGUGUAUUUCAGAUUCCUGCUGGCUACUGCUUUUUUUUUUUGGUUGUUGUGUGUAAAACUAUGGUUGCCGUCGUCGUUAUUAACCAGAACAGGCAGGGCUCUGGAGCAUGUAGAACCACCAAAGUGAAUCGGGCCAACCUGAAGGAACCCCAGUUCUGAUGGAGUCGGGGGUUGAAACAUGGGGGAAGGAGGAGGGGGAGGAUCUUGUGAUAACUUGGAUGUUCCCAACAGGAAUUCCAGACUUGUUAGUCUAGAAAGGUCUGGAUUUGCCCAGUGAAGGGGACUUUAGUAAGUUCUCCUCCUAUCCUCGGAGCCACCUCAGGGCAGAAGGGCGAGGGGAGAGACUAGGGGUUACGUCCCUCGCUGGGGUCCUUCGGCAGAGCUCCCGGGUGGCCUCAGUGGAGCCACAGGGAUUUCACACCUGCACUUGCACAGAUUUAGGCAUGUGCUUAGCUCAUGCUUCCCUCUCGCUGCCGUGCUGUGCCGGACUCUAGCUUGGGCUGGACAGGGGCAUAAGACUCCUCUGCAGCAGGAUUGGGGCCUUUUGUCUGCUGAGGAUCUGCCCCCCCCAGCCCCCAAUACUUCAGCUAAAUAUGGAAGGAAGUGGCAGCCAAGCAGCGUCUUUGCUCUAUUAAAAUAGACCAAGCCUCAAGAUCCAUGUGCAAGCUGAAGAGACAAAAAGUAGCAAUUUCCAACUCAUAUUGCAAUGAAACAAAAGACACCCUCGUUUGUGAUGUAAGGUACCUUGACUGCCCAGGGGACCCCGGGGCUGUGACGAAGGAUUGUCUGCUCUUAGGUUUUGCAUGCACAGGUCCUAUGCUCAGCCCCCAGCCUCCUUCCCGACACGAAACAAACGACAUUAAAACCGGAACAGCUGGAUUAUCAUCUUCUCCAGAGAGGAGCAGGUGGGGUAGCUGUAGAUACAUUUGACCUUGUGCCCAGGUCCCCAAGGCUCUGAGAUCCAGCCCCUGUAGCACCAUAUAGAGAGAGAGAUAUGUACAUGGUUUUCUAUUUAUAGGUCACGAGAACUUUUUGUGUUAGAUUUUUUAAAGACGUUGACAACAACAAC